rnacentral:rRNA from 1 species
GGCCUAAAGCGUCCGUAGCCGGGCCCGUAAGUCCCUGGCGAAAUCCCACGGCUCAACCGUGGGGCUUGCUGGGGAUACUGCGGGCCUUGGGACCGGGAGAGGCGGGGGGUACCCCUGGGGUAGGGGUGAAAUCCUAUAAUCCCAGGGGGACCGCCAGUGGCGAAGGCGCCCCGCUGGAACGGGUCCGACGGUGAGGGACGAAGGCCAGGGGAGCAAACCGGAUUAGAUACCCGGGUAGUCCUGGCUGUAAAGGAUGCGGGCUAGGUGUCGGGUGAGCUUUGAGCUCGCCCGGUGCCGUAGGGAAGCCGUUAAGCCCGCCGCCUGGGGAGUACGGCCGCAAGGCUGAAACUUAAAGGAAUUGGCGGGGGAGCACUACAAGGGGUGGAGCGUGCGGUUUAAUUGGAUUCAACGCCGGGAACCUCACCGGGGGCGACGGCAGGAUGAAGGCCAGGCUGAAGGUCUUGCCGGACACGCCGAGAGGAGGUGCAUGGCCGCCGUCAGCUCGUACCGUGAGGCGUCCACUUAAGUGUGGUAACGAGCGAGACCCGCGUCCCCAGUUGCCAGCCCUUCCCGUUGGGAAGGGGGCACUCUGGGGGGACUGCCGGCGAUAAGCCGGAGGAAGGAGCGGGCGACGGUAGGUCAGUAUGCCCCGAAACCCCCGGGCUACACGCGCGCUACAAUGGGCGGGACAAUGGGAUCCGACCCCGAAAGGGGAAGGGAAUCCCCUAAACCCGCCCCCAGUUCGGAUCGCGGGCUGCAACUCGCCCGCGUGAAGCUGGAAUCCCUAG